CUGAAAGGCUGGCUGGAAAAGCCGAGCCCGUGGAGGAGCCAGCUACUACCCUGAAAGCACGGAGCUCAGCAAGAUUCUGUAAACAAAGUUCCUGUGAAUCAGACACCACCGUCUGACUGAGAGGAGCAGUGAGCGUCUUUGAGGGACUGAGGUUGGCCACUCUUUCCUGGUGAACUGGACAUGUUGGUUCGCUUGCACAUCAGGAUUUCUCUGUUGUUGUGUUUGUGUUUCGGGUGCUGGGGAUGGGCCCAGGGCGGGGACGUUGGGCCAGUGCGCUCGCCUAGAGCCCCACGCCAGCCCUCCUCGGGUUAUCUGUGAUUUCUUUGCUUGUGAUCUCUUUCAUCUCUUGGUUGGAAUGUAAUUAUAAGUUGAUUCCUAUAAGCUCUUUAAGUUUUUUCCCCUUGGCUGUACUGGGAAUUGAAGCCAGUGCCUCACACAUGCCAGACAAUCACUGAGCUGCAUACCCAGACCUCUAAAAAAUGUUGUUCUCGGAGACAGGGUCUCGCUAAGUUACCAAGGCUGGCCUCACACUUGCCAUCCUCCUGCCUCAGCCUCCCCUGGGGCUGGGAGGACAGGUCAGACCACCACGCCUGGCUACAGUGCACGUGUAUCACCCUUCCAGCUCUCCCGGGAUCUGAGGCUCAGGAGUGGUUCUUCCGCGGUGGCAAUCAGAUGUCAGCCGGGGAUGCUGUCCUUUGAAGGCCUCAUGGUGAUUCACUUUGAAGGUGGCUCAGUUGCCUGGCUGCCCAGUUGGUGCGGGUUGUUGUUCAUGGACUUAUGGAUGAAUGGAUUAUCAUGGGAGUGGCUUUGGUGUACAAGUGGGCUCUCUCUGCCACGCUCGAUCUGUCUUGCCGUGUGGUGCCCUCUGCCAGGUUGUCAUGCAGCAGGAAGACCCCCACCAGGUGCCAUCAUCAGGUUCUUAAGACUUCCCAGCCUCCGGAGCCAUGAGCCAGAUAAACCUCCGUUCUUUAUAAACGACCCCACCUGUGGUAUUCAGUUAUAGCAACAGAAAGCGGACUAAGGCAUAUGGUAAGUAACAUAGUCAUGGAAACAGCCAUCAUGAAGGCAGAGGUUCCUAUUCAGAGUUCCCCUCAGAGGGCAGGCAUGGCCCACUAUACAGGGGGUCAGUUGAGGCAGAGAGAACCAAGGGAAAAUGUGCUAGAGCUUUUAUUGUGCUCUCCAUGGGAAAGCCUAAUCGUGCAGAGUUAGGUUUAGGAUUUGGCAAGUUUGGAUAAUUUCAGCAGAUUCUAGGGCAUAGGGCUGUCCCCGGUUGCCUGGUACCUGGCCCUUGAGUAACUAGGACAGAGGAAUAUUGGCCUGGGG
rnacentral:lncRNA from 1 species